AGCGAACGCUGGCGGCAUGCCUAACACAUGCAAGUCGCACGGGUCGGCUUCGGCCGGUCAGUGGCGGCCGGGUGAGGACCGCGUAGGGAUCCGUCCUUUGGUGGGGGAUAACCGCGGGAAACUGCGGCUAAGCCCGCAUGGGGCGCCGGUGUGAGAGCCGGCGUCAUAGGCGCGCAUCGCGAGGUGUGUGUGGCCGGGGGGUGGGCCUGUGUCCGAUUCGCGGGGUGGGGGGGUAGUAGCCCGGCAAGGCGUGGAUGGGUGGCUGGGCUGAGAGGGGGAUCAGUCACGCUGGGACUGAGACACGGCCCAGACUGCGACGGGAGGGAGCAGUAGAGAAUAUUGGGGAAUGAACGCAAGUCUGGUCCAGCAAUGCGGCGUAGGUGGAGAAGGUCGUCGGAUUGUGAAGCCCUUUCGGCGGAGACGAUGGUGACGGUACCCGCAGAAGAAGCCCCGGCUAACUUCGUG
rnacentral:rRNA from 1 species